rnacentral:rRNA from 1 species
UACGUAGGGUGCAAGCGUUAAUCGGAAUUACUGGGCGUAAAGCGUGCGCAGGCGGUUGUGCAAGACAGAUGUGAAAUCCCCGGGCUUAACCUGGGAACUGCAUUUGUGACUGCACGGCUAGAGUGUGUCAGAGGGGGGUAGAAUUCCACGUGUAGCAGUGAAAUGCGUAGAUAUGUGGAGGAAUACCGAUGGCGAAGGCAGCCCCCUGGGAUAACACUGACGCUCAGGUGCGAAAGCGUGGGGAGCAAAC